CCUACGGGGGGCAGCAGUGGGGAAUAUUGGACAAUGGGGGCAACCCUGAUCCAGCCAUGCCGCGUGUGUGAAGAAGGCCCUCGGGUUGUAAAGCACUUUCAGUGAGGAAGAACGCCUGGUGGUUAAUACCCAUCAGGAAAGACAUCACUCACAGAAGAAGCACCGGCUAACUCCGUGCCAGCAGCCGCGGUAAUACGGAGGGUGCGAGCGUUAAUCGGAAUUACUGGGCGUAAAGCGCGCGUAGGUGGCUUGAUAAGCCGGUUGUGAAAGCCCCGGGCUCAACCUGGGAACGGCAUCCGGAACUUUCAAGCUAGAGUGGAGGAGAGGAAGGUAGAGUUCCCGGUGUAGCGGUUAAAUGAGUAGAGAUCGGGAGGAAUACCAGUGGCGAAGGCGGCCUUAUGGACUGACACUGACACUGAGGUGCGAAAGCGUGGGUAGCAAACAGGAUUAGAUACACUAGUAGUC
rnacentral:rRNA from 1 species